AACGUAGGACGCAAGCGUUAUCCGGAGCUACUGGGCGUAAAGCGCGGGCAGGCGGCUUCGCAAGUUCGAUGUGAAAUCUCUCAGCUCAACUGGGAGCAGCCAUUGGAAACUACGAAGCUGGAGUCUGGCAGAGGUAGGCGGAAUUCCGGGUGGAGUGGUGAAAUGCGUAGAGAUGUGGAGGAACACCAAUGGCGAAGGCAGCCCCCUGGGAUAACACUGACGCUCAGGCACGAAAGCGUGGGGAGCAAACAGG
rnacentral:rRNA from 1 species